rnacentral:rRNA from 1 species
UACGGAGGAUGCGAGCGUUAUCCGGAUUUACUGGGUGUAAAGGGCGUGUAGGCGGGACUGCAAGUCAGAUGUGAAAAUUAUGGGCUCAACCCAUAACCUGCAUUUGAAACUGUAGUUCUUGAGUGAUGGAGAGGCAGGCGGAAUUCCGUGUGUAGCGGUGAAAUGCGUAGAUAUACGGAGGAACACCAGUGGCGAAGGCGGCCUGCUGGACAUUAACUGACGCUGAGGCGCGAAAGCGUGGGGAGCAAACAGG